GCAGGGAAAUAUCUAGUUUGUUCAUAUGGUAAUUCACCACAAACUGAGAGAAGGAUUCUGGGAGAGAUUGAAGGAUUAGAUCUUGAUUGAGUUCUGCAUCCAUGGUGAAUCCUAAUUGACCUAAUCUGGUGAUCAAGUCAAUCAUCUUCAACACAUGAUUUUGAACUGGAGUUUCCUUAGUCAUCCGAGCCUGAAACAACUGC
rnacentral:lncRNA from 1 species